CAGACCACCAUCACUUCUGAUAAACUUUUUGUUCCAGUGACACUCCGAGAUCCCCAAUUAAAUAAAAGAAACUUCAAAAAGCCUGGUUUAAAACUGCACUGUAGAAUUAAAUUGGUACAUGUUCAGUUUGUAUAUUCUGUCACUUGAAAUGGUAGUCAAGUCGAUAAUGUGGACAAAACCUUCAUCUAAGAGUUCAUUUAGAUGAUAUAGCAGCACAGAAGGGGCUGUCCUAAAGUUAAUUCAGUACAUCAGGGUGCUUUCUCACAGAUCUGCAGCUAUCAGACAGACUGAGCCGACUCUUCUGCAAGACUGCUUGCUAUACUAAAUUAAUUUGACAACAUUAAAACAGUACUGCCAACUUCUGAAAAAGAAACACACAGAGCUCAAUCACAAGGACUUUUAUGAAGUUUGGCAUCUCUUUUGAGUGGAAACUCCAGGUCUUAUGAGUCUAAAAUGGAGGACCUUCAAACAAAAGAGACUGAGACUGCAGGAAGCUGAACAGAUCUUUGGGCUGAAAUGCACAGUCCACGCAGGCUUGGACCGAGUGCUGGAGAACCGUGUUCACUGGGCCCGGCCCGAAAUGAUCAGGCAGCUGCAACAACAGCUUACGGUCCAGGUGUGGC